ensembl:lncRNA
AUCAGCUGCCACGGCUACUGCAGACGAUGACCCCUCAGCGCUGUGAACCCUGUGAGACCAUUAAAGGACCCCCGGGACCCCCUGGAGCUCCAGGGCCUAAAGGGUCCAGCGGGCCCCAGGGAUAUCCUGGAAGACACGGCGCUCAGGGCUACCCGGGGCCCCCGGGCAUCCAAGGACCUCCAGGAGUAAAAGGGGACACAGGCCCACGGGGGUUUAAGGGCAAUAAAGGAGAGAGCAGACCAGGAUACCCAGGGCCUCCUGGAGACACAGGGAUCCAGGGUCCUCGCGGCAGUGAUGGCAUUGGUAUUCCGGGUCCUCCGGGAAUCCCGGGUAAAUCCGGGGCUCCGGGCAUCCCAGGGACGCAAGGUCCUCCAGGGCCGGCUGGCGUGUGCGACAUGUCCAUCUGCUACCAAUCCUAUAACCUCAGGGAUGAGCGCUACAGUAAAGGGCCUGACUUCUAACACACACGCUUGAGCAAACACAUGGGCUCAGCUCUCAGACUGCCAGAAGCGCCGCAGCAAAUCCAGAGGAAUUUACUCACAUGGCUUUGGACGUUGUCUGUGCAUUGCUAUGGUGCAAUGAAACAUCAGGGGCCUGUAGAUGAAUGAUGUGAAACUUAAAGACGUGAAACCUGCCUUCCAGUGCAUGAAGAGUUGGUGCGUAACACCAUUAAUGCAAGGGUGCAUGCACAAGGUCCUUUGCAUAGUAAUACUACAAGUAUAUUAAUGUGGAUAGAUGUUAAUGUGUCAUAAACAUUAAUAUUUAUCACCAUUACUUAUGAAUAUUAAUUAUAAAUCAACUAUUUUGCUGUCAAACGAGCAACCUUUGCUACAUGAUAUGAGAUGCAAUAAUAUAAGCAUUAGUUUGUGUGUGGUUUGGUACUAAUUAAGAUUAAGAAUAAAUGGAUUCAUUACUUCAGGGACAUACAUAAAAGGGAAAAGCUUAAUGUUUCUGUUUGUUUUGGGCAAAAAGACAACCUAAGUUUGGAUUUCCCCAGUACUUGGCUGAGAAUCUUGGAUUGGACAGCCUUCUAAGACACAACAGCCAUCAUAUUUUCAUAUUUAAUUGAAUUACUAAAUGUGCUUUAAAUUGCUGGCUAGGUUGAUUUAAUAAAUUGCUAUUGUUUUUGCAUUAUUUACAUACUUAUGUACUUUUUAUUUCUUGCACUGCCUGAAGGGAAGGUAAAUUCACACUAACCUCAUUAAACAUAAUCUCAUUAAAUAAAAGGAGCACAAAGCAUUAUAAUAAAAACUAUUCAGUUUUUGUGCGUUCAUGAACUCAUAAUGGAUUUUAUUCUUCUCUCUUGGCAGUAAAGUAUUUAAGCUGUAUAAGGUACGAGAUAAAAAUCUGAAAGAUGUAAUUAUUUUAAAUAUUGUUUUUGUGAAUCCAUACAAAAUGCUUGUUAUAUUAUCUUCUAAUGAAACCUUGGAUAAACUGAUAUCACAUUUUUCUUCUAUAAUCUUUUACUCUGAUGUUCAAUUCUAAUCUGUUAUUUUAAUCACUCAUUGUAUUUUCAUUUAGUUUCGUAUAACUUUUCUUUUUUUUAUAUGUAUAAAUCUCUGGGAAAUUUUUAAGACAUGAGUAAUUUACCUUUUAGAGCUCUAGUAUUUGCUAAGAAUGAUUUUGUUGAAAUAAAAGGUAAUGAACACCCUGUGGUUGGUCUGUGGUUUCAUGACAGCGAUCAUGCAUGUUGUCUAUGCUUCAAACGCACGUCCAGUCUUGAGAAAAUUCUGAAGUCACAUAAAAAGGAAGUAAUUUCAAGACUAUGAUUCAGAUUUUUGCAGCUGUAGACUGACACACAUCCUCUGCUGCUGCUCCACCUCACAAGACUGCAGUUUCUAUUAAUAAACCAGCCAGACGAGCUGUGAACAGCACUUUGGGGUAAGUUUACAAAUUUCUACUAACUUCUAAUCAUUUGUGACCCUGGACCACAAAAUAUUUUUUUUGGAUAUUGAGAUUUAAACAUCAUCUGACAGCUGAAUAAAUAAGCUUUCCAUUGAAUUAUGGUUUGUCAUGAUAGGACAAUAUUUGAAAAUCUGGAAUCUGAGGGUACAACUAAAUAAAUAAAUAAAUAAAUAAAAUAAAAACAUGAAAAAAUCGCCUUUAAAGUUGUCCAAAUGAAGUUCUUGGCAAUGCAUAUUACUAAUCAAAAUUGUAGUUUUGAUAUAUUUACUGUAGGAGAUUUACAAAAUAUCUUCAUGGAACAUGAUCUUUAUGUAAUAUCCUAAUGAUUUUUGACUUAAAAAAAAAAAUGAUUAUUUUGACCCAUACAAUGUAUUGUUGGCUAUGGUAACACUUUAUUUUGAUCAUCCACUUUAGACAUUCUACUAACAGUAAGUAACUUUGUAUCUACAUGUCAACUAGCAGUCAUUAGAAUAUUAGUAGACUUUCUGCUUAAUAUCUUCUAACAAUUUAUUUUGAUGGGUCCACAACAUAUUGACUAUGAGAAAUUUUGCAAGUACAGUAUAUGUCAACUUAUUCUACUAACCCUAAACCUCACCUAACAAUCUACUCUGAGAGUUAGUAGACAUGUAGUUGCAAAUUAAUAAGAAUUAGUUGACAUUUAGUUG